GGCUCAGUGGUCUAGUGGUUAAGCGCUUGCGCGCGAAACUGAAAGGUCGUGGGUUCGAAUCUCGCGAGGC
rnacentral:tRNA from 1 species